rnacentral:lncRNA from 1 species
UUUUAUAUCAGAUUAUCUUUGCACUCAAUGUUCCAAGGGUGAAUUUAUAAAGCUAAAUAAAUUCUCCAAAUUUGGAUAUUGGAUGCAAACAAGAAUAUGGAGAGGUUAUCCAUUAGUGUUGGCUAAUGCAUGCUGGUAAGGCCCGUUGGGAACUUUGAUCCCUUUUGAUUGCCCUCAAUUCAUGUAAAGGAUCAAAGUAGUCCUAAGCAACUUUAACCUUCUACUAGUUUGCUGUUUUUUACGUUUUUUAACUGCUUGCAAACAAAGUUGCUGUGAUACUCUGUCUUCUGGUGCCUUGUAAAGGUAUUGUAGUUUAUUACAAUGAUGAAAGUUAUAUAAAGCAGAUGUUUCGUUGGAGUUUAAAUUAGUAGAGAAGCAAAGUAAUUUACUAAUUCUGGGCCGAAUUAUGUUAAAACCAAUGAUGUUGAUCUGGAUCUUCCCCUGUUCUCUUUCACCACUUGGAUUCUUUCUAUGCGUAAGAUGUUUUGCAGCAUGUUCCAUGUAAAAGUCACACCCACUGAAAUUAAUUUGAGGUGGAAUCUGUG